CAAGUACUCCCUCUGUCCGGAAUUACUUGUCAUCAAAAUGGAUGUGUCUAGAACUAAAAUACAUAUAGAUACAUCCAUUUCAAUGACAAGUAUUUUCGGGCAGAGGGAGUACAAG
rnacentral:pre_miRNA from 1 species